rnacentral:pre_miRNA from 1 species
UACAUACUCCCUCCGUUCGGAAUUACUUGUCGUAGAAAUGGAUGUAUCUAGAUGUAUUUUAGUUCUAGAUACAUCCAUUUUCGAGACAAGUAAUUCCGAACGGAGGGAGUAUAUA